CUGGCACACAGAGUGGGGUCAGUCAGCGUCAGGACAAUGGGGUGGGCGUGUCAUGGGCUCUGUGGAAUGGGGGAGCCUGCUGGCCACCCCUCUGGCUUGUGAGGUAAAUCCAGGCACAAGCCCUAGAAGCCUUGGCUUUUACCAACAGGGCCAGACGAUCAGAAAAGUGCCCCGGGCUCUGCUGCCCUUGGAGAGUCAGGGCUGGGGGCCGAGAGCAAGGGUCCAGGGCAUGGAGGGCCCUCCCGCCUGGGUUUUUGCUUACAGAUGGAGAAGUGGGAUUAUUAAGCCAGAGGGUGUGCUUCAGAAGGUGUGCUUACGAAGGGGCUUUCGGGUCACAAUGCAGAGAACUUCCUCGCAGUGAGCAGCCUUGGGUCCUGGGGUAAUACAGCCAGCCCAGGGCAUUUGGGAAGCACUUAGCCAGGCCUGACAGUGGCCAGGCUGCUUCAUAAGACGCCUGGUGCACUAAAGAAGACUAGCAAAGCAGGGGGCGGACUAAAGUGGGCGGGAAAUGCUGCUUUCAUGCAUCUGCGUGUUGACAGGUAUGACCUCCCUGCUCACCCUGAGUUCUCUGAGUCACCUCUGUGCCCCCAGCACCCAGCACUGUGCCUGGCUCAGGGCAAAGGCUCAGAGAAUAUUUGUU